rnacentral:rRNA from 1 species
UACGUAGGGUCCGAGCGUUGUCCGGAGUUACUGGGCGUAAAGCGCGCGCAGGCGGCGGCGCUGGCCCGGCGUGAAAGCCCCCGGCUCAACCGGGGAGGGUCGUCGGGGACCGCACCGCUUGAGGGCGGUAGGGGCUGGUGGAAUGCCUGGUGUAGUGGUGAAAUGCGUAGAGAUCAGGCGGAACACCCGUGGCGAAGGCGGCCAGCUGGGCCGUCCCUGACGCUGAGGCGCGAAGGCGUGGGGAGCGAACGGG